CUGUGAUAAUUUGGUUGAACUGUGAGAGACGUGGCGCUCUGCACUGCGCUGGCCUCCCGAUAAACUCACGAGACCUCGCAGUGACGUGACGAGCAGCCAAUCAGGCCACAGCAGCGACUCGCUCAUCCAAUGGACUGAUAGAUAAGUGUAUAAAUACAUCACAUCACGAGAAAUCCGUGGAGAGUGUAAACAAAGACGCGACGAUCAGCAAGGUGUGUCAUUCAGCAGACGUCAGAUUUCACGACAACACAAAAUGUCAGCAGCAGACGAGCAAUACAUGGACGAAUAUGAGAAAUACAACAUAGAUCAGGAUAAAUUUGUGAACACGGGCCAUAGUGGAAAGGGACGGACGAAGAAAGAAGCUGAACAACACAUUCGGGAGGACCCGAGCGGACACACAAGGAAGACAGUGCAGAAACUUAUGAACAAUGCACAUAACAAUGCGACCGGGCCGAAAGGUCCCUCCACGGUUAAGAAAUCCUGAUAACAUAAGAGAUAAGAAGUGUAACGGGUACCCAUGGCAACCGCUUCGUAAAGGACCAAGAGAAAGGAUAUGCAAUACUUAAAAGGAAGGACCCGAUUGACCAGUGGCCGGACUGAUGACCUCUUGAAGGUCAAGGUCACAGUGAUGUGAUAUCGGUGCGUCCAGGACGUAUGCUCUGACCAGGACAGACCAGGACAAUGGCACAUCCAUAUGUCUACAUUCGUCAUUUUGUCACGUUUACAAUUUGUCUUUUGAUAAAACAUAUAAAAUGUU